UUGGUGGGUAAAUGGCCUACCAAAGGCGACGACGGGUAGCCGGCCUGAGAGGGUGACCGGCCACACUGGGACUGAGAUACGGCCCAGACUCCUACGGGAGGCAGCAGUGGGGAAUAUUGCACAAUGGGCGCAAGCCUGAUGCAGCGACGCCGCGUGAGGGAUGACGGCCUUCGGGUUGUAAACCUCUUUCAGUAGGGACGAAGCGAAAGUGACGGUACCUACAGAAGAAGGACCGGCCAACUACGUGCCAGCAGCCGCGGUAAUACGUAGGGUCCGAGCGUUGUCCGGAAUUACUGGGCGUAAAGAGCUCGUAGGUGGUUUGUCGCGUUGUUCGUGAAAACUCACAGCUUAACUGCGGGCGUGCGGGCGAUACGGGCAGACUAGAGUACUGCAGGGGAGACUGGAAUUCCUGGUGUAGCGGUGGAAUGCGCAGAUAUCAGGAGGAACACCGGUGGCGAAGGCGGGUCUCUGGGCAGUAACUGACGCUGAGGAGCGAAAGCGUGGGUAGCGAACAGGAUUAGAUACCCUGGUAGUCCACGCCGUAAACGGUGGGUAAAUAGGUGUGGGUUUCCUUCCUUGGGAUCCGUCCCGUAGCUAACGCAUUAAGUACCCCGCCUGGGGAGUACGGUCGCAAGACUAAAACUCAAAGGAAUUGACGGGGGCCCGCACAAGCGGCGGAGCAUGUGGAUUAAUUCGAUGCAACGCGAAGAACCUUACCUGGGUUUGACAUGCACAGGACGUAUCUAGAGAUAGGUAUUCCCUUGUGGCCUGUGUGCAGGUGGUGCAUGGCUGUCGUCAGCUCGUGUCGUGAGAUGUUGGGUUAAGUCCCGCAACGAGCGCAACCCUUGUCCUAUGUUGCCAGCGGGUAAUGCCGGGGACUCGUAGGAGACUGCCGGGGUCAACUCGGAGGAAGGUGGGGAUGACGUCAAGUCAUCAUGCCCCUUAUGUCCAGGGCUUCACACAUGCUACAAUGGCCAGUACAGAGGGCUGCGAAGCCGUAAGGUGGAGCGAAUCCCUUAAAGCUGGUCUCAGUUCGGAUUGGGGUCUGCAACUCGACCCCAUGAAGUCGGAGUCGCUAGUAAUCGCAGAUCAGCAACGCUGCGGUGAAUACGUUCCCGGGCCUUGCACUCACCGCCCGUCAAG
rnacentral:rRNA from 1 species